rnacentral:rRNA from 1 species
AACGCUGGCGGCAUNCCUUACACAUGCAAGUCGAACGGCAGCACGGGAGCAAUCCUGGUGGCGAGUGGCGAACGGGUGAGUAAUACAUCGGAACGUGCCCAAUCGUGGGGGAUAACGCAGCGAAAGCUGUGCUAAUACCGCAUAAGAUCUACGGAUGAAAGCAGGGGAUCGCAAGACCUUGCGCGAAUGGAGCGGCCGAUGGCAGAUUAGGUAGUUGGUGAGGUAAAGGCUCACCAAGCCUUCGAUCUGUAGCUGGUCUGAGAGGACGACCAGCCACACUGGGACUGAGACACGGCCCAGACUCCUACGGGAGGCAGCAGUGGGGAAUUUUGGACAAUGGGCGCAAGCCUGAUCCAGCCAUGCCGCGUGCAGGAUGAAGGCCUUCGGGUUGUAAACUGCUUUUGUACGGAACGAAACGGCCUUUUCUAAUAAAGAGGGCUAAUGACGGUACCGUAAGAAUAAGCACCGGCUAACUACGUGCCAGCANCCGCGGUAAUACGUAGGGUGCAAGCGUUAAUCGGAAUUACUGGGCGUAAAGCGUGCGCNGGCGGUUAUGUAAGACAGUUGUGAAAUCCCCGGGCUCAACCUGGGAACUGCAUCUGNGACUGCAUAGCUAGAGUACGGUAGAGGGGGAUGGAAUUCCGCGUGUAGCAGUGAAAUGCGUANAUAUGCG